CCUACGGGGUGCAGCAGUGAGGAAUAUUGGUCAAUGGACGAGAGUCUGAACCAGCCAAGUAGCGUGAAGGAUGACUGCCCUAUGGGUUGUAAACUUCUUUUAUAUGGGAAUAAAAUGUCCCACGUGUGGGAUUUUGUAUGUACCAUCUGAAUAAGGAUCGGCUAACUCCGUGCUAGCAGCCGCGGUAAUACGGAGGAUCCGAGCGUUAUCCGGAUUUAUUGGGUUUAAAGGGAGCGUAGGUGGAUUGUUAAGUCAGUUGUGAAAGGUUGCGGCUCAACCGUAAAAUUGCAGUUGAAACUGGCAGUCUUGAGUACAGUAGAGGUGAGCGGAAUUCGUGGUGUAGCGGUGAAAUGCUUAGAUAUCACGAAGAACUCCGAUUGCGAAGGCAGCUCACUGGACUGCAACUGACACUGAGGCUCGAAAGUGUGGGUAUCAAACAGGAUUAGAUACCCCUGUAGUC
rnacentral:rRNA from 1 species